rnacentral:rRNA from 1 species
AGGGCGCACGGUGGAUGCCUUGGCACUAGGAGCCGAAGAAGGACGUGACAAACGACGAUAUGCCUUGGGUAGCUGUAAGUAAGCGAUGAUCCAGGGAUUUCCGAAUGGGGGAACCCAACAGGUACUACCUGUUACCCGCAUCUGUUAAGGAUGUGAGGAGGAAGACGCAGUGAACUGAAACAUCUAAGUAGCUGCAGGAAGAGAAAGCAAAAGCGAUUGCCUUAGUAGCGGCGAGCGAAACGGCAGGAGGGCAAACCGAAGAGUUUACUCUUCGGGGUUGUAGGACUGCAAUGUGGACUCAAAGAUUAUAGAAGAAUGAUUUGGGAAGAUCAGCCAAAGAGAGUAACAGCCUCGUAUUUAAAAUAGUCUUUGUACCUAGCAGUAUCCUGAGUACGGCGGGACACGUGAAAUCCCGUCGGAAUCUGGGAGGACCAUCUCCCAACCCUAAAUACUCCCUAGUGACCGAUAGUGAACCAGUACCGUGAGGGAAAGGUGAAAAGCACCCCGGGAGGGGAGUGAAAGAGAACCUGAAACCGUGUGCCUACAACAAGUUCGAGCCCGUUAAUGGGUGAGAGCGUGCCUUUUGUAGAAUGAACCGGCGAGUUACGUUAUGAUGCGAGGUUAAGUUGAAGAGACGGAGCCGUAGGGAAACCGAGUCUGAAUAGGGCGCAUUAGUAUCAUGACGUAGACCCGAAACCAUGUGACCUACCCAUGAGCAGGUUGAAGGUGCGGUAAAACGCACUGGAGGACCGAACCAGGGCACGUUGAAAAGUGCUUGGAUGACUUGUGGGUAGCGGAGAAAUUCCAAACGAACUUGGAGAUAGCUGGUUCUCUCCGAAAUAGCUUUAGGGCUAGCGUCGACAUAAAGAUUCUUGGAGGUAGAGCACUGUUUGGGUGAGGGGUCCAUCCCGGAUUACCAAUCUCAGAUAAACUCCGAAUGCCAAUGAAUUAUGGUCGGCAGUCAGACUGCGAGUGCUAAGAUCCGUAGUCGAAAGGGAAACAGCCCAGACCACCAGCUAAGGUCCCAAAAUAAUUGUUAAGUGGAAAAGGAUGUGGGGUUGCACAGACAACUAGGAUGUUAGCUUAGAAGCAGCUAUUCAUUCAAAGAGUGCGUAAUAGCUCACUAGUCGAGUGACCCUGCGCCGAAAAUGUACCGGGGCUAAAACAAUUUACCGAAGCUGUGGAUACCUUUAUAGGUAUGGUAGGAGAGCGUUCUAUGUGUGAAGAAGGUAUACCGUGAGGAGUGCUGGAACGCAUAGAAGUGAGAAUGCCGGUAUGAGUAGCGAAAGACAGGUGAGAAUCCUGUCCACCGUAAGACUAAGGUUUCCAGGGGAAGGCUCGUCCGCCCUGGGUUAGUCGGGACCUAAGGAGAGACCGAAAGGUGUAUCCGAUGGACAACAGGUUGAUAUUCCUGUACUAGAGUAUGUAGUGAUGGAGGGACGCAGUAGGCUAACUAAAGCAGACGAAUGGAAGUGUCUGUCUAAGCAGUGAGGUGUGAUAUGAGUCAAAUGCUUAUAUCUAUAACAUUGAGCUGUGAUGGGGAGCGAAGUUUAGUAGCGAAGUUAGUGACGUCACACUGCCAAGAAAAGCUUCUAGCGUUUAAACAUACUCUACCCGUACCGCAAACCGACACAGGUAGUCGAGGCGAGUAGCCUCAGGUGAGCGAGAGAACUCUCGUUAAGGAACUCGGCAAAAUGACCCCGUAACUUCGGGAGAAGGGGUGCUGACUUUAUGUCAGCCGCAGUGAAUAGGCCCAAGCAACUGUUUAUCAAAAACACAGCUCUCUGCUAAAUCGUAAGAUGAUGUAUAGGGGGUGACGCCUGCCCGGUGCUGGAAGGUUAAGAGGAGUGCUUAGCGUAAGCGAAGGUAUGAAUUGAAGCCCCAGUAAACGGCGGCCGUAACUAUAACGGUCCUAAGGUAGCGAAAUUCCUUGUCGGGUAAGUUCCGACCCGCACGAAAGGCGUAAUGAUUUGGGCACUGUCUCAACGAGAGACUCGGUGAAAUUUUAGUACCUGUGAAGAUGCAGGUUACCCGCGACAGGACGGAAAGACCCCAUGGAGCUUUACUGCAGUUUGAUAUUGAGUGUCUGUGCCACAUGUACAGGAUAGGUAGGAGCCUAAGAGAUCGGGACGCCAGUUUCGAUGGAGGCGUUGUUGGGAUACUACCCUUGUGUUAUGGCCACUCUAACCCGGUAGGUUUAUCAUCUACGGAGACAGUGUCUGACGGGCAGUUUGACUGGGGCGGUCGCCUCCUAAAAGGUAACGGAGGCGCCCAAAGGUUCC